rnacentral:lncRNA from 1 species
AUUAUCAAGAUGAUUUGGGAAUUAGGAUUUUAGUGUAUUAGGUGUUUUGAAUAAAAAAAUUUAAACAUCUAAGUAUUCCGCUAUACCACCAAAAUCCAACACAUAAAAGCACGUUAGAGAAUAAUAAAGAAGUAUAUUGAAAGACCAAAAAUUCUUGUUAAGUAUUUAGUGAGACUUUAAGAAAAAAAGCUACAUUCUAACCACUUGCUUCUUGUGCAUUCAAGUGUCUUUCGAG